AAAAUAUUGAUUAACAAAAAGUGCCCAGCUACCAUACGCCCAAUUUUAGAGUGGUUUCAACUUCUUGUCAUUCAAAAUACAUAAAUGCUCUCCUGAACUUAGACAAAUGAUAUUUGUUUUACUUAACAAUGUUGCAUUUUAUCAAGGGAGUGAAUGAGAUUCUCAAAUUCCAGUGUAAAUCUUGGAAAUUAAAAUUAGUGUCAAUUUUCUAAAAAAACAAUAGUUGCUACUUUAUGUAUAUGUAUCUAUUUUCAAAAAGUUUACAUUUCUAAUUAAUGAUUCCAUUUGUUGGUUAACAUCCCUAAAGGUCAUCAAAAAGAUCAGGGAAAGGUCAGGCAAAAUCCGACCAUGUUGAUCAAGAAGAUGGAUGGCCAAGGAGAAACAUGACCACUAACACCAUGAAGAGAAUUGUCAGCAAGGAUCUUGGGCUCAAGGUCUACUGAAAAUGCAUAAGCCACCUAAUAAUUGUAGCUUCCAUGAAGAAAAGGCUGACCAGAAGUCGGGUUUUGUUGAAAUUCUUGCAAACUGGCAUGACUGGCCCAAUCUGUUGGACUGAUGAGAAAAUAUUCACAAUGGAACCUCACUUCAACAAGCCAAACUAACUGUGUCUUGGGCUCCAAUAUCAGAUCCAUCCCUCUCCUUCCCCGAUCUGUCGUUUACAGACAAAACCCGUCUAGCAUUAUGGUGUGGGCUAGCAUGAUGUCCGAUGGCAAGAAACUGCCCUUGAUCUUCAUUGACAUGAGUGUCAAGAUCUCCGCCCAAUGAAAUAGACUGAUAGACUGAGAUAGGUGAAUUGUUGUUCACUUUUUUAGUGCCUUGACCGGAGAAUCUCAUAAUUUCAAUAACAAUUUUCGCCAUCAUUGGUUUUUUGUCUUGUAAGCCAAUGAAAAAAGUGCUUGGAAGCAGCUGUAAUGACUUAUGUCACGAGAUAACUUAUUCAAAAGCACAAUUUUUUACUGAUUUUUAAGCGAUGCUUGGAAUGGGAUUCCAAUCAAUAAUACGUAAUAAUCUAGAGAUUUGGAAUCCAAAUUACAUUUCAAAAUGACAUGCGAAAUUCCAAACUAAAGAAAAUGCUCAAAUAUUUGCGGAAAAUUUGACUCAUAAUUAAGGAAAAGGAAAAGCACCCUUGAUCUCCAUUAACAUGAGUGUUACUCGGUUACUCGGACGGUCCUUGCACUGUCCAGCAAGAUGGAUAUCCGGCGCACAAAUCUAAACUGGUUCAAGAUAUGUGUAGAACAUUUUUGUCAGUUUCUGGAGGAAGGAAAAGUGGCCUUCCAGCAGCAAGCCGACCUCUAUCGAACGGAUUUUUCCAUUUGGUUCAUUUUUGAGGGCAGGGCUUACAAGAAGCUUUACGGCAGUAUCAAAAUCCUGAAGCGUUCCCUGAUCAAGAAAUGGUAUGCCAUUUAGGAGAAUACUGUGCGUUCCGUUUGUGCCUCCAUCCUCCCUCAUUUCAAGAAGGUCAUUGCUGACAAAGGCAGGCAUUGUUCAAAUGGAUAACAAGAAAGUUGGUGUAUUUGAACUCCUCUAUGAACGUGUUGAAAUAAAAAAAGGCAAUGUUGUUAUAUCCCCAAAUAUCUAAAACUAUGCUGGAACUAGAGGGCUUGUCAGACAAGGGUCACUCUAGCCAAACCACUUGAGACUUCGCUUUGAUCACAUUUUGAUAGCUUGGCAGCAGGGUGUUGGGCUGAUCGACUUCUCUUCCGUUACUCAGUUUCAACCAAAACAGACAAAGCAGCCAUCAACUCACUGGCUCCCUGAAUUCGGAACUUGAUUUUGAGGAUCACGUAACUAAAUAUGUUCAAAGCCGAUACCUAAGGACACAACAGGCAGCAGCGAGGGAACCAAAAAAAUUCAGAAAUCUCUUGAGUGUCAUUUCUCUGACUAGCCCUGCAGUUGGAACCCAUAUUUAUCGCUCAUGCUGGAGAUUAGGUAAAAAAUUACAUGAAUUUGGUUUUAAAAGUUGCGUGUCUAUCCACCUUUGGUGGGUUGCACUUACUUUUGUACACCUUGUGCCCUCUUUUGUCCAUUUUUGGACACUUUUAGACACUUUGUGUCCAAAAGUCAGGCUGAUCACCAAAAUUGCCCACCCUGGUUGGGAAGCUACUUUACUUAUGUAGCCGUAACUUCAUACAAUACUUCAUAUGUAGCCGAGACUUUGUAUUACGAGACCCAUUGCGUACUUUGUCUUUUUUGAAUACCAGCAUGGAAGAAGAACAUUAUUAGCAUAAAAAAUAUAACUUCUAACACUUUAAAAGUUAUGAAUGAAGAGCACUUAGAGGACAAAAUCAUUGUGUCACCUUUAACUAAGAAUCCUCAACUAAUACAAUUACAAGGAAAAAACAUGACAUGCAACAUCAUUCCCAUUUCUGGACUUCAAAACAAUUGGCCGUGUAGAGAUUUCGUCGUGGACCUCGCCAAAACCGGCAUGAAGGCCAAUGACAUAAAAAAAUUGGUCGACGCCGCCCAUGGCCCUUCUGCCAUGACGGCUGGGCAAAUAUUUAAGUAAGAUCGUGGCCUCUGUUAAGGUUGGUGAGGACACGGAUGACAAAAGGCAUCGAAACCCCCGGAAAUGGAUUCGCACUCCGGAGAUUAUUGCUGCUGUUAGCAAAUAUGUGGAUGAGGAUCGCCGUGUCAAGACCAGAAAGCUGCGCGAGUCCUGUGUACCAAAGGCUUAAAAAAAACUGCAUUUCAACCUUGGACAAGCAUCCUUGAGGUCUGUCAUAACAAUAGAUGAAUCUACAGUGUCCUUCCACACACCCGAGACCAAGGAGUAGUCCAAGCAAUGGCUAAAAAAAGGCACCCAAGGACCGACAAAGGCCAGAGUCCACGCUCCACGGAAGAAGCAGAUGGUCAUUGCCUUCUUCGACUUGAACGGCAUGGUCUAUCAAAAGUAUGUCCCGGUGGGCACCGGAGUUGAUUCCGCCUACAUCAUCAACGUCAUGGAAAGGUUUUUGAAAGCUUUGAAGAAGAAACGACCAGAAUUAGUGGAGAAGGGGUGGCAUUUACAUUGGGACAAUGCGCCCGUUCAUACCGCUAAGACCACGGUGGAGUACUUGGCCACCCAGAGCAUCAAAGUUAUACCCACCCCGCCUAUUCCCCAGAUCUUGCCCCGGCAGACCUCUUCUUGUUUCUUACUGUCAAAGGACAUCUUUCCCGUGAUCAUAUCAACGGCAAUACCGUCAAAACUGACUGGGAACGGGUGGUUGGUGCCAUCCCCAAAGAGGACUUUGCCAAGGCCUUCCAGAAGUGGGUGGAACGAUGGAACAAGUGCAGCCAGUUAGAGAGGGAUUAUGUUGAGAAAUGAUAAAAUACAUUUUUUAUGUAGUCAAACAAAGAGCCACAAAUGAAGGACUAUCAUUUGUUUUUGACAUCACCUCGUACAUUUGUUUUUGACAUCACCUCGUACGUCCACUCUCCGAGAAUCAAUAUCUGAAGGAUUGUACUGUUGUCAUAUCUCAAGUAAUCCUUUUGCUGUGCUCCCUGAAGAGGUGCAAUACUAAGACUUCACUAACUCAAAAAGUGAUACCAUUAAUUUGGAUGCAAUUAUUCAUUAUUGUUAACCUAAUUAUUUGUUUGAUACUUUGCUUAGAAGUUGGAACAUGGCUGGUAUUUUACCGUACAAUAUGGAGUCCUUUUUAUAACCGGGAUAAACCAACUUGAAAUAAAAUUUUGCUUAGGUUCAAAACUUGCGGACGCCCAUUAAUAUUCAUUGAAAAUUGAAUAGAUUAACAUCUACCAUUUACUUCGUUCGUCGGCCACACUCCAUGAAGAAAGCUUCAAAAGUCAAGCGUUGCACAAAUCCAAGUCCAGAACCCGCUAUCAUUUCGCCAUGGAAGGAACUGUGCUCACAUGCAUCAUAGCCAUUAUGUAUAAAUGUGACUGGUUCAUUUACGAAGGGUCUCUAGUUCUCAAAGACUUGAAGGCCGACACCCUUUAUCCCACCAAUAAGCAAAUCCAUCGAGAAGUUUGCUCAGCCGUGGAUAUGGAAGAAACAUGCCAUUCCACUAGAAUCCGCCAUUUCGUAGAUUCCGUCACCCUGAGUUCGAACCCAAAGCCGGUUUCGAAAGAAAGUCUAGAUUUACACGGGCGAACCCUCAUCCUGAGCGCCAUGGAUCUGGUUCCUUUCAUUUACCGUGACGACCAAGGAGUGGUUCGGGGAUCUGAGUAUGGCUUUGUCAAGAUGGUAAGCGAACAAAUUGGAUUUGACGUCAAAGUGGUCAACUCCGAUCCAUCAGAGUUUUGGGGCAAAUUCAACCAAAGCCUGCAGAUUCACGAUACUGGAGCAAUUGGAAUAUUAGCAAGAUUGGAGAGCGACAUGUCCAUCGGUCAGCAUUUGCUGGAUGAUAUAAAGAUGAUAUCUGGUAUCGAGUCGGUCCAUAGUUACGAAAGUGAUGGAUUGUGCUUUCUGAUCCGAAGAGAGCAACCCAAGAGAGGCUGGAUGAGCUUGAUCAGUCCAUUGGAUCAAUUAACUUGGAUCGGCACAGGUCAUCUGCGGGUCUCAAAGUGUUUUUAUUCUCCUUCCUGAUGGCCACGAUGAUUUUGAAAUCGGGUUACUCAGGGACUUUGUUCGCAUUUUUGACGGUGGAUAUUCUCCCCGAGGGAAUUAAAACCCUCCAAGAACUCGAUCAUAGUGACAAGGCCAUAUGGACUUCAAUGGCCAAAAACGUGGCCAGAUUUCGCGACGCAGGUUAUACCGGAAUGUCUGAGAGACAUGUUCAAGUAGAAUUUAACGAAAUGUUUGAGUUGAAAGCAAGCCAAGAUGAUGCAGCCCUCUUUGAAACUGCAUCCAUUCUGGAUUACGAAAUAAGGCUCCGAUACAUUGAUGAGUAAGUGGCGCAGGGUUACGAGGGCUUUUUAAAUUAACAAUGUUCGUAUUUAUUUUCUGGAUACUCCAGAAACGGGGAGGCUUACAUGCGGCGAUUGGAACAAUGCUGGAACUUGUACAAUGUGGGGAUCCUCCUACAAGAUCGGAGUAUUUAUCGAGAAGUGUUUCAAAUGGCCUUCCUGAGAUUAACUGAUGGUGGUGUUUAUCGAUGGAGUCAAGACAUUUAUCUGGAGCAGACUGGUCGAAUGGUUCGACCUCAAGAGAGGACUACAAACCAAAAUAUACCCAUCAAACUUUUGGACUUACGUUUUCCUUUCGUUCUUUGGAGCAGUGGAAUCUUAAUUAGCUUUAUGUUUUGGGUCAUUGAAGCUGUUGCACAUGAGCUUAUGGAUUGAAAUAAUUUUAGUAACCGUCAUACGUGUUAGCAAAAAGGGAGGGAAUAUACAAUGUAGAAAAAUAUUGAACUCUUUUGUUAUCAUUCCUACUACUUGGCUGUACCUAGAAGGGCCAUAUAUUACGCCCUUUGGGGAUAAUUCAAUUGUGUUUUUCUGGGGAAGUCUACACACUGCAAGUACCUGGUGGUGUACACAGAGGUUAAGGUUUAAAGGGCUUGAUGAAUAAUGGAAAUCCAAUUAAGUGAAGGUUAAUGAGCAGGGAGUAAAAUGAUUCCACGUUUUUAAAUUGUCUACAGAUCAUAAUAGUCAAAGAGUAGAGAAGCAGAGGCUGUUUGUUAGCUUUAAAGAAAAGAGAGACGAGACGUUAAUUUUACGUCGCAAGUUGUCCUUGAGUAUUUUAACAUAGAAUGAAAAAGCCCAGUCGUUUUUGCUAGAUUUUAACUUUGCCCAAGUGUCAAAAGUGAAGUUAUGUACAGGCCACCUGGUUUA